GAUGAACGCUGGCGGCGUGCCUAAUACAUGCAAGUCGAGCGAACGGACGAGAAGCUUGCUUCUCUGAUGUUAGCGGCGGACGGGUGAGUAACACGUGGAUAACCUACCUAUAAGACUGGGAUAACUUCGGGAAACCGGAGCUAAUACCGGAUGAUAUUUUGAACCGCAUGGUUCAAAAGUGAAAGACGGUCUUGCUGUCACUUAUAGAUGGAUCCGCGCUGCAUUAGCUAGUUGGUAAGGUAACGGCUUACCAAGGCAACGAUGCAUAGCCGACCUGAGAGAGUGAUAGGCCACACUGGAACUGAGACACGGUCCAGACUCCUACGGGAGGCAGCAGUAGGGAAUCUUCCGCAAUGGGCGAAAGCCUGACGGAGCAACGCCGCGUGAGUGAUGAAGGUCUUCGGAUCGUAAAACUCGGUUAUUAGGGAAGAACAUAUGUGUAAGUAACUGUGCACAUCUUGACGGUACCUAAUCAGAAAGCCACGGCUAACUACGUG
rnacentral:rRNA from 1 species